AAACGAAACGCUGGCGGCAUGCCUAACACAUGCAAGUCGAACGAGACCUUCGGGUCUAGUGGCGCACGGGUGCGUAACGCGUGGGAAUCUGCCCUUGGGUUCGGAAUAACAGUUGGAAACGACUGCUAAUACCGGAUGAUGACGUAAGUCCAAAGAUUUAUCGCCCAAGGAUGAGCCCGCGUAGGAUUAGCUAGUUGGUGAGGUAAAGGCUCACCAAGGCGACGAUCCUUAGCUGGUCUGAGAGGAUGAUCAGCCACACUGGGACUGAGACACGGCCCAGACUCCUACGGGAGGCAGCAGUGGGGAAUAUUGGACAAUGGCGAAAGCCUGAUCCAGCAAUGCCGCGUGAGUGAUGAAGGCCUUAGGGUUGUAAAGCUCUUUUACCCGGGAUGAUAAUGACAGUACCGGGAGGAAUAAGCUCCGGCUAACUCCGUGCCAGCAGCCGCGGUAAU
rnacentral:rRNA from 1 species